rnacentral:rRNA from 1 species
AUUGCCUCAGUAACGGCGAGUGAAGCGGCAAAAGCUCAAAUUUGAAACCCUCGGGAUUGUAAUUUGAAGAUUUGGCAUUGGAGAAAGCUAACCCAAGUUGCUUGGAAUAGUACGUCAUAGAGGGUGACAACCCCGUCUGGCUAACCGUUCUCCAUGUAUUGCCUUAUCAAAGAGUCGAGUUGUUUGGGAAUGCAGCUCAAAGUGGGUGGUAAACUCCAUCUAAAGCUAAAUACUGGUGAGAGACCGAUAGCGAACAAGUACUGUGAAGGAAAGGUGAAAAGAACUUUGAAAAGAGAGUGAAAUAGUAUGUGAAAUUGUUGAUAGGGAAGGAAAUGAGUGGAGAGUGGCCGAGGUUUCAGCCGCCCCUCGUGGGCGGUGUACUGCCGACGCCGAGUCAUCGAUAGCGAGACGAGGGUUACAAAUGGGAGCGCCUUCGGGCGUUCUCCCCUAACCCUCCACACUGCCACCGACGACAUAAUCCACCCAUUUCACCCGUCUUGAACACCGGACCAAA